UCAAAUAAAUCAAGAACACCAACCUUAUGACUUCACAGAUCAAGUAUGGAAUAAAUUCCAUCUUCCACCCAACUAUAUCACCAUAAUCAACAAAACUCAAGGGAUUUAAUCAUCACAAAACAGAACUAAACACUCUUUUAUGCUCUCCAUUUAUUUCCAACACACAAAGUCGAUUUUCAAACAAAUAUCUCAAUAUACACUCGACUUCACUUUUUUUUUUC
rnacentral:lncRNA from 1 species